GCAUGCAUGGUCUAGUGGUAGAAUUUACGCUUCCCACGCGUAAGACCCGGGUUCGAUUCCCGGUGCAUGCA